rnacentral:rRNA from 1 species
CGCGUAGGCGGAUGUUACAGUCAGGCGUGAAAUUCCUGGGCUCAACCUGGGGGCUGCGUUUGAUACGUGAUGUCUGGAGUUCGGAAGAGGGUCGUGGAAUUCCCAGUGUAGAGGUGAAAUUCGUAGAUAUUGGGAAGAACACCGGUGGCGAAGGCGGCGACCUGGUCCGAUACUGACGCUGAGGCGCGAAAGCGUGGGGAGCAAACAGGAUUAGAUACCCUGGUAGUCCACGCUGUAAACGAUGUGCGCUGGAUGUUGGGUGACAUAGUCAUUCAGUGUCGUAGCUAACGCGAUAAGCGCACCGCCUGGGGAGUACGGCCGCAAGGUUGAA